rnacentral:pre_miRNA from 1 species
UGGAUAGAUUAUUGUAUUCGACUGCAUUCACGGCGUAAAACAGGGUAUUACACGGCUUUUAAACGGAAAGUGAAUCAAUUAACAUAAUAGACUCCU